AAGACCUUGCGCUUUUGGAGCGGCCGAUGCCUGAUUAGCUUGUUGGUAAGGUAAAAGCUUACCAAGGCUUCGAUCAGUAGCUGGUSUGAGAGGACGACCAGCCACACUGGGASUGAGACACGGCCCAGACUCCUACGGGAGGCAGCAGUGGGGAAUUUUGGACAAUGGGGGCAACCCUGAUCCAGCCAUGCCGCGUGAGUGAAGAAGGCCUUCGGGUUGUAAAGCUCUUUCAGCCGGAACGAAACGGUUACGGAUAACACCCGUGACUACUGACGGUACCGGAAGAAGAAGCACCGGCUAACUACGUGCCAGCAGCCGCGGUAAUACGUAGGGUGCGAGCGUUAAUCGGAAUUACUGGGCGUAAAGCGUGCGCAGGUGGUUUUGUAAGUCAGAUGUGAAAGCCCCGGGCUCAACCUGGGAACU
rnacentral:rRNA from 1 species